GACGAACGCUGGCGGCGUGCCUAAUACAUGCAAGUAGAACGCUGAAGGAGGAGCUUGCUUCUCUGGAUGAGUUGCGGACGGGUGAGUAACGCGUAGGUAACCUGCCUGGUAGCGGGGGAUAACUAUUGGAAACGAUAGCUAAUACCGCAUAAUAGUAGAUGUUGCAUGACAUUUACUUAAAAGGUGCAAUUGCAUCACUACCAGAUGGACCUGCGUUGUAUUAGCUAGUUGGUGGGGUAACGGCUCACCAAGGCGACGAUACAUAGCCGACCUGAGAGGGUGAUCGGCCACACUGGGACUGAGACACGGCCCAGACUCCUACGGGAGGCAGCAGUAGGGAAUCUUCGGCAAUGGACGAAAGUCUGACCGAGCAACGCCGCGUGAGUGAAGAAGGUUUUCGGAUCGUAAAGCUCUGUUGUAAGAGAAGAACGAGUGUGAGAGUGGAAAGUUCACACUGUGACGGUAUCUUACCAGAAAGGGACGGCUAACUACGUG
rnacentral:rRNA from 1 species